UUUCCGUAGGUGAACCUGCGGAAGGAUCAUUCUUAUUUAAUCUAUGUGCCAGGGCUGAAGCUGAUCCGAACGUUCUGUCAAGUGUGAGCCGCCUUAUUUAUGACCAUCUCAACACUACAUGUACUUCUGCGACUGUCUCCCUGUAACCUGUUAGGAGUGGGCAUUACGAUUACACCUUUCCUUAGCAUGUAGUGUAGCAUGUACAUUUUGUUUUAGCGAUCCCGCUCUCAAGACAACUUGUAUCAACGGAUCUCAUGUCUCUCGCACCGAUGAAGAACC
rnacentral:misc_RNA from 1 species